GAAAACCUGAAUCGUUUUAUUUUCUUCUUUUCUCUUCCUCAUCUCCUUCACACUUCUUCUUCCUCUCUAGGGUUAAGAGUAGGGAGAAGCCAAGGUUUUUGCUAAGCAGCCAUGAGUGAGACGAGAGAUAAGCAUUGCAUACCCAGAUCCGUUUCUUACAACCCAAAUUCUUCGUUGUUGUUCUCCUUUAGCUCUUCCUUUACUCUCCGUAGCUCUCACCUUCUCAUUAAAAUGUCAAUUUCAUCUCGUCGGAGAAGGUUUGUUGUUUCUCUCUCUCUUUCCCCCUUUGAAUCUGGGUUUGGAAUUAGGGUUACUUAGAUAUGUUAUUCUUCUUCUACGGUUUUGAGUCUAUUGAGCAAAGGACUGCAAGAGGUUUUACAGAUCGAAAUCACCGAAGAAGAUUUUUCUCACUAGGACCGACUAUGACAGAGGAGUCAACACUUUUUCUCCCGAAGGAAAGCUGUUCCAAGUUGAAUAUGUCAUUGAAGCUAUCAAGGAGGACUAGUGGCCCUAUUAGACGAGCUAAAGGUGGUUGAACUCUUGAGGAUGAGACACUUAGACGAGCUGUUGACAAGUUUAAGGGGAAGAGGUGGAAGAAAAUAUGUAAAUUUUCUUUCCUUGAUCAAAGUCAUCAAAGUCAAAGUUUUCAUAGGUUUCAAUUUCAAGUCAUGAGUUUGUUAAUGGAUUUAUGUCUACCUUGAUUGAUUUUUUUCUUUGGUGGGUUUCUCUCAGAUCAAGUGUCAGCUAUUUUGGUUGAGUCUUGUAUUGCUGGUUAUGCCGGUGUAACUACAAGCUCCAUGGUUAUUGGGGCAGUAGGUGGCUUAAAGAACUCAAGGCUCAACUCGGCUCAACUCUGUGUCACCAAAGUCACCGAAGGUACUCAAAACAAGCUCUCUAAUAGCAUAUCACUUUGCUGUAUCAUUUUCUGUAUAUUUAGGCUAUUAAUACUUCUUCUUCAUGAGUUUGUGUUGCUUAGUUGCAGGUUGAAGCUGAUUACGUGAUGAGCUUUAGGAUAUGAUCUGUUUAUGUAUUUUCUAAUCUUUGACUUGUUAAAUCUCUUUGUUGGGAACUUGCAUGAGUGAGGACCACAAGAAGACAGGUCGUGACUCUUGAGUAAGAAUGGGUUAUAUUUAAGAAGCAAGUUGGAGUUCCUGAAGCUGGAGGACUUCAAGAAGGCGAAGGAGAAGGUUAUAUUUAAGAAGCAAGUUGGAGUUCUUGAAGCUUUUAACGUCUGUUCAUGAACUUUUUUCGAUGGUAUGUAGUAAAUAUUGUAUAAGACUUGGUUUGAUGACUUGUUGUAGUCUAAGAUAUGGUAUGUAGGUUUUGGAUAAUUUAUUUAAUAUUUUUUUUUUAAAUAAA